rnacentral:rRNA from 1 species
GAGAUGUUGGGUUAAGUCCCGCAACGAGCGCAACCCUUGAUCUUAGUUGCCAGCAUUCAGUUGGGCACUCUAAGGUGACUGCCGGUGACAAACCGGAGGAAGGUGGGGAUGACGUCAAAUCAUCAUGCCCCUUAUGACCUGGGCUACACACGUGCUACAAUGGACAGAACAAAGGGCUGCAAGACCGCAAGGUUUAGCCAACCCCAUAAAUCUGUUCUCAGUUCGGAUCGCAGUCUGCAACUCGACUGCGUGAAGCUGGAAUCGCUAGUAAUCGCGGAUCAGCAUGCCGCGGUGAAUACGUUCCCGGGCCUUGUACACACCGCCCGUCACACCACGAGAGUUUGCAACACCCGAAGUCGGUGAGGUAACCUUUAUGGAGC